GGGUCAGUAGGUUGGUCGUGCCACCGGUACGUACUGGUCUCACUGAUUCCUCCUUCCUGAAGAACCGUAAUGCCAUUAAUUUGGUGUUGCGGGGAAACAGGACUGUUACUUUGAAAAAAUUAGAGUGUUUAAAGCAAGCUAACGCUUGAAUACAUUAGCAUGGAAUAAUGAAAUAGGACGAUCGAUCCUAUUUUGUUGGUUUCUAGGAUUGACGGA
rnacentral:rRNA from 1 species